rnacentral:rRNA from 1 species
AGAAUCUUCCGCAAUGGGCGAAAGCCUGACGGAGCGACACCGCGUGCAGGAUGAAGGCCUUCGGGUUGGAAACUGCUGUCACGCCAUAGGAAUGACGCAAGGUUAAUGGCCUUGCGUUUGACCAACGCGAAAGGAAGCACCGGCACACUCUGUACCAGCAGCCGCGGUAAGACAGAGGGUGCAAACGUUGUUCGGAAUUACUGGGCAUCAAGAGCACGUAGGCGGCUCGCAUAGUCGCGCGUGAAAUCCCCCGGCUCAACCGGGGAAUGGCGCGCGAUACUGGCGGGCUAGAGGUUGGUAGGGGUGAGUGGAACUCCAGGUGGAGCGGUGAAAUGCGUAGAUAUCUGGAGGAACACCGGUGGCGAAAGCGGCUCACUGGACCAACGCUGACGCUGAGGUGCGAAAGCUAGGGUAGCAAAC